UACACUCCUGCGGGAGGCAGCAGUGGGGAAUAUUGGACAAUGGGCGCAAGCCUGAUCCAGCCAUGCCGCGUGAGUGAUGAAGGCCCUAGGGUUGUAAAGCUCUUUCACCGGUGAAGAUAAUGACGGUAACCGGAGAAGAAGCCCCGGCUAACUUCGUGCCAGCAGCCGCGGUAAUACGAAGGGGGCUAGCGUUGUUCGGAUUUACUGGGCGUAAAGCGCACGUAGGCGGACUAUUAAGUCAGGGGUGAAAUCCCGGGGCUCAACCCCGGAACUGCCUUUGAUACUGGUAGUCUUGAGUUCGAGAGAGGUGAGUGGAAUUCCGAGUGUAGAGGUGAAAGUCGUAGAUAUUCGGAGGAACACCAGUGGCGAAGGCGGCUCACUGGCUCGAUACUGACGCUGAGGUGCGAAAGCGUGGGGAGCAAACAGGAUUAGAAACCCUUGUAGUCCCAUGAU
rnacentral:rRNA from 1 species